rnacentral:rRNA from 1 species
CCUACGGGCUGCAGCAGUGGGGAAUUGUUCGCAAUGGGCGCAAGCCUGACGACGCAACGCCGCGUGGAGGAUGAAGACUUUCGGGUCGUAAACUCCUUUCGACCGAGAUGAAUUCCUGCCGGCCUAAUAUGCCGGCAGGGUGACAGUAUCGAGGGAAGAAGCCCCGGCUAACUCCGUGCCAGCAGCCGCGGUAAUACGGGGGGGGCAAGCGUUGUUCGGAAUUACUGGGCGUAAAGGGUUCGUAGGUGGCCAACUAAGUCAGACGUGAAAUCCCUCAGCUUAACUGGGGAACUGCGUCUGAGACUGGAUGGCUCGAGUGCAGGAGAGGAACGCGGAAUUCCAGGUGUAGCGGUGAAAUGCGUAGAUAUCUGGAGGAACACCGGUGGCGAAGGCGGCGUUUUGGACUGCAACUGACACUGAGGAACGAAAGCCAGGGGAGCAAACGGGAUUAGAUACCCCGGUAGUC